GGACGAACGCUGGCGGCGUGCUUAACACAUGCAAGUCGAGCGGAAAGGCCCUUCGGGGUACUCGAGCGGCGAACGGGUGAGUAACACGUGAGCAACCUGCCCUUGGCUCUGGGAUAAGCCCGGGAAACUGGGUCUAAUACCGGAUAGGACCAUCGAGGGAUUCCUCUGGUGGUGGAAAGUUUUUCGGCUGGGGAUGGGCUCGCGGCCUAUCAGCUUGUUGGUGGGGUAGUGGCCUACCAAGGCGACGACGGGUAGCCGGCCUGAGAGGGCGACCGGCCACACUGGGACUGAGACACGGCCCAGACUCCUACGGGAGGCAGCAGUGGGGAAUAUUGCACAAUGGGCGGAAGCCUGAUGCAGCGACGCCGCGUGCGGGAUGAAGGCCUUCGGGUUGUAAACCGCUUUCAGCACCGACGAAGCGUGAGUGACGGUAGGUGCAGAAGAAGCGCCGGCUAACUACGUGCCAGCAGCCGCGGUAAUACGUAGGGCGCAAGCGUUGUCCGGAAUUAUUGGGCGUAAAGAGCUCGUAGGCGGUUUGUCGCGUCUGUUGUGAAAGCCCGGGGCUUAACCCCGGGUCUGCAGUGGAUACGGGCAGGCUAGAGGCAGGUAGGGGAGAACGGAAUUCCCGGUGUAGCGGUGAAAUGCGCAGAUAUCGGGAGGAACACCGGUGGCGAAGGCGGUUCUCUGGGCCUGUACUGACGCUGAGGAGCGAAAGCGUGGGGAGCGAACAGGAUUAGAUACCCUGGUAGUCCACGCCGUAAACGUUGGGCGCUAGGUGUGGGGUCCUUCCACGGGUUCCGCGCCGUAGCUAACGCAUUAAGCGCCCCGCCUGGGGAGUACGGCCG
rnacentral:rRNA from 1 species